rnacentral:rRNA from 1 species
UACGAAGGGUGCUAGCGUUGUUCGGAAUCACUGGGCGUAAAGCGCGCGUAGGCGGCUUUUCAAGUAAGGGGUGAAAUCCUGAGGCUUAACCUCAGAAUUGCCUUUUAAACUGUAAAGCUAGAGUGUCGGAGGGGAUAGCGGAAUUCCUAAUGUAGCAGUGAAAUGCGUAGAUAUUAGGAGGAACACCGGUGGCGAAGGCGGCUAUCUGGACGACAACUGACGCUGAGGCGCGAAAGCGUGGGGAUCAAACAGG